GGGUAGCAAUAUCCUGAGUAAAGCGGCGCACGGGUGAGUAACACGUGGGUAAUCUGCCCUGGAGUGGGGAAUAACACCGGGAAACCGGUGCUAAUACCGCAUACGAUAAUGAGGUCUGCGGACUUUGUUAUGAAAGGAGCAAUUCGCUCUAGGAGGAGCCCGCGGCUGAUUAGCUAGUUGGUGAGGUAAUGGCUCACCAAGGCUACGAUCAGUAUCCGGUCUGAGAGGACGGUCGGACACACUGGAACUGAGACACGGUCCAGACUCCUACGGGAGGCAGCAGUGGGGAAUUUUUCGCAAUGGGGGCAACCCUGACGAAGCAACGCCGCGUGGGUGAUGAAGUAUCUCGGUACGUAAAACCCUUUCGACGGGGAAGAAACCGCAAGGUUGACGGUACCCGUAGAAGAAGCCCCGGCUAACUCCGUGCCAGCAGCCGCGGUAAUACGGGGGGGGCAAGCGUUGUUCGGAAUUACUGGGCGUAAAGGGUGCGUAGGCGGUGCUCUAAGUCGGAUGUGAAAACUCUGGGCUCAACCCAGAGCCUGCAUCCGAAACUGGAGUGCUAGAGUUCUGGAGGGGGUAGCGGAAUUCCUGGUGUAGCGGUGAAAUGCGUAGAUAUCAGGAGGAACACCGGUGGCGAAGGCGGCUACCUGGACAGAAACUGACGCUGAGGCACGAAAGCUAGGGGAGCAAACAGGAUUAGAUACCCUGGUAGUCCUAGCCCUAAACGAUGGAUACUUGGUGUAGCUGGGAUUGAAUCCAGCUGUGCCGAAGCUAACGCAUUAAGUAUCCCGCCUGGGGAGUACGGUCGCAAGGCUG
rnacentral:rRNA from 1 species